GAUGAACGCUAGCUACAGGCUUAACACAUGCAAGUCGAGGGGAAACGAUAUUGGAAGCUUGCUUCCGAUAGGCGUCGACCGGCGCACGGGUGAGUAACGCGUAUCCAAACUGCCCAUCACUUGGGGAUAACCUUGCGAAAGUAAGACUAAUACCCAAUGAUAUCUCUAGAAGACAUUUGAAAGGGAUUAAAGAUUUAUCGGUGAUGGAUGGGGAUGCGUCUGAUUAGCUUGUUGGCGGGGUAACGGCCCACCAAGGCGAAGAUCAGUAGGGGUUCUGAGAGGAAGGUCCCCCACAUGGGAACGAGGAAACGGUCCGAACUCCUACGGGAGGCAGCAGUGAGGAAUAUUGGUCAAUGGACGAGAGUCUGAACCAGCCAAGUAGCGUGCAGAAUGACUGCCCUAUGGGUUGUAAACUGCUUUUAUAAGGGAAUAAAGUGAGUCUCGUGAGACUUUUUGCAUGUACCUUAUGGAUAAGGACCGGCUAAUUCCGUGCCAGCCGCCGCCGUAA
rnacentral:rRNA from 1 species